UUGGUUUAUAAUAGAAUAUUUGCAUUAUAUUCAAUACGUGCACAGUUCAUUAAAAUAGCCAAUAAGUUUAAAUAAAUAUAAAACAAAAUUGUUCAUUUGAUUCGUUUACUUAUUUAAAUUCAUACAGUUGAUAUUAUAUUCCAUUGGUAUUUAUAUUAUCAAUUAUCAUAAUAGUGAUGUGUUGUGGCUUUAAUUACAACAAUAUGUCUAAAACCCACAAAAUUGCUUGAGGUUCUAUUUCUCGAAGAAUGUUUUCCUUUCGAAAGGACAAGGAUCGGGGAAAGUUGUAAAUUAGCGCUGUUAGACGUCCCAAGUGGACUUCAACGGAUAAUUCAAGAAUUUGCGACGCCCGAUCUGUCGAUUUCGUCGUCGAUCUGUAGAAGGACGAUGGCUAUUGACUAACAAUGCAGUUCUAACUCUUUUGACUACAAGAACAAAAUUGGAAACCCCAACAAAUAGAAAUAGAACCAAGAAUUGUUAUAUUCACGUGAAACAAACGUUUUUAUAGAUCAACCAUAUGAGCAGUUUGAUGAAUUGAUGGUUCAAAAAAUCGUUGACGUUACAAUACCAGGAAAUGAUCAAAAUCCCUCGGAAUCCUGCACAAUUCAUAUGUUCAACGCAUGGAUUGAAAUCAUUUAAAAAAAAAUCAAAUAAGCAUAAGUUUAGGGAUCUCAACAAUAUAAUUUCCAAUUCAAUAUAAAAUCCGUACAUUGGGAGUCUAAAUUUGAUUGAUUUAUAAAACUUUGAUGCCAUAGAUAAAUCUAUGUUAGUCUAGUAAUCUUAUUAAUGAUUAUAUUUCUCAAAAUAUCAUAAUUACUUUUUCAAGAAAACUCAAUAUAAACUAAUAUGUUUCUUUAUAUAUGCUAUGUGCAGGGUUGAUCUUAUCUAAUGGUACACAUUUUAUUUUUUUCGUGAGGACAUUAAUUUAACAAAAUCAUUUGGAAAUAGUGUUUGGCACAAAUUUUAUUCCAGAAUGGAGCCCUCAGCUCUAGUGAUUGCCUCAAUAAGAGGCCUUAAUCCUUUGUAGACCUUGACUAUGUAGUCGAACUCGAGUUCAGGCCCACUCUUUUUUGAUGGAAGCUUCACAUACCCUCUCCCAUGGAGACGCCUAGAUAGAGUAGUCCAAGAUGCUCACGUCUGAGGAGAAGGUAGCUACUCUUGAGGUCCCAAAAGUCAGUAAAAUUAUCUCACAGGAACACUUGGGUUUUAGCGACCCGAUGACACGGAGCUCUGUCUUGAGUGAAAAUAUGCCCUCAA
rnacentral:lncRNA from 1 species